rnacentral:tRNA from 1 species
UAGUCUUAAAUUUAUUGAAGCUGCUAACUUUAAUUAGGGGAUUUUUUUCUCCGAGACUAU